rnacentral:sRNA from 12 species
GACCUAAGUCUUUUUUGAAAGAUAUGGUCAAAAAUCCAAGUAGGGUGUAAAGAACUCCUCGUUCAGCAUACCUUACUUGGUCAUGAUUCGAAAGAAUUGUGGGCGGUCGCGAGAUCGUC